rnacentral:rRNA from 1 species
ACGGUAACAGGUCUUCGGAUGCUGACGAGUGGCGAACGGGUGAGUAAUACAUCGGAACGUGCCCGAGAGUGGGGGAUAACGAAGCGAAAGCUUUGCUAAUACCGCAUACGAUCUCAGGAUGAAAGCAGGGGACCGCAAGGCCUUGCGCUCACGGAGCGGCCGAUGGCAGAUUAGGUAGUUGGUGGGAUAAAAGCUUACCAAGCCGACGAUCUGUAGCUGGUCUGAGAGGACGACCAGCCACACUGGGACUGAGACACGGCCCAGACUCCUACGGGAGGCAGCAGUGGGGAAUUUUGGACAAUGGGCGCAAGCCUGAUCCAGCCAUGCCGCGUGCAGGAUGAAGGCCUUCGGGUUGUAAACUGCUUUUGUACGGAACGAAAAGACUCCUUCUAAUAAAGGGGGUCCAUGACGGUACCGUAAGAAUAAGCACCGGCUAACUACGUGCCAGCAGCCGCGGUAAUACGUAGGGUGCGAGCGUUAAUCGGAAUUACUGGGCGUAAAGCGUGCGCAGGCGGUGAUGUAAGACAGAUGUGAAAUCCCCGGGCUCAACCUGGGAACUGCAUCUGUGACUGCAUCGCUGGAGUGCGGCAGAGGGGGAUGGAAUUCCGCGUGUAGCAGUGAAAUGCGUAGAUAUGCGGAGGAACACCGAUGGCGAAGGCAAUCCCCUGGGCCUGCACUGACGCUCAUGCACGAAAGCGUGGGGAGCAAACAGGAUUAGAUACCCUGGUAGUCCACGCCCUAAACGAUGUCAACUGGUUGUUGGGUCUUCACUGACUCAGUAACGAAGCUAACGCGUGAAGUUGACCGCCUGGGGAGUACGGCCGCAAGG